GGAAAAGGUAACGCGACAGUAGCAGCCUUUUGUGGAGAAAUUCUGAGGUUUGGUGAGCAGAAAACCACUAAAACUUGUGUAAUCAUUGAAAUAUAUAAAUAUAAUGACAACUCGUUUGUUAAAUUUAAAGAUAUUGAGAGAUUCAAGGCUGUGAACCCUUGUGAGCUGGAAUUCCCCUUGCUGCGCGUGGUGCUUAGCAUGGUCGGGGUUUUUUUUUGGAUCGGAUUUGGAAAUCUUGAGAAGAACCAAGGAUCAACUUCCAGUGCUGGAUGGCGAGCGUCAGCCCAAAGAGUCGAACAAACUGGUAGCUUGUAACCCAACUGGUUACAAACACACAACUGUGAACACUGAACUUUGAACCAUUGACACUGAAAGACUGAAAGACUAAAACAAAAAAAACCACCAAAGACAAAAAGGACUAUUUUUAUUUCAUUUUGUUUAUCUUUUAUUCUAUUUUGAGACCGCUAUUUUUUUUUUUUGUUGUUGUUUAUUAUUGUGCACAAACCCCUUUGCAGUUUGAACUCUGCAAUUAAAUGCAAAUUGUCUUUUAA